rnacentral:tRNA from 1 species
GCCGCAGUGGCCGGGUUCGGCCAGCGCCUGCGUGGCGGCACUCAGCUGCACGGCUGGGAUUAUCCGCAGGUGCGUGCCCUGGCCGCGGCC